rnacentral:rRNA from 2 species
AAAUUGAAGAGUUUGAUCAUGGCUCAGAUUGAACGCUGGCGGCAGGCCUAACACAUGCAAGUCGAACGGUAACAGGAAGCAGCUUGCUGCUUUGCUGACGAGUGGCGGACGGGUGAGUA